rnacentral:rRNA from 1 species
GACGAACGCUGGCGGCGUGCUUAACACAUGCAAGUCGAACGGAAAGGCCCCUUUGGGGGUACUCGAGUGGCGAACGGGUGAGUAACACGUGAGUAACCUGCCCUUGACUUCGGGAUAACCUCAGGAAACUGGGGCUAAUACCGGAUAGGAAUCCUUGCUGCAUGGUGGGGGUUGGAAAGCUGCGGCGGUUUUGGAUGGACUCGCGGCCUAUCAGCUUGUUGGUGGGGUAGUGGCUUACCAAGGCUUUGAUUGGUAGCCGGCCUGAGAGGGCGACCGGCCACAUUGACACUGAGAUGCGGCCCAGACUCCGACGGGUGGCAGCAGUGGGGAAUAUUGCACAAUGAGCGGAAGCCUGAUGCAGCAACGCCGCGUGCGGGAUGACGGCCUUCGGGUUGUAAACCGCUUUCAGCACGAGCGAAGCUUGUGGUGACGGUACCUGCAGAAGAAGCACCGGCUAACUACGUG